UCUCUAUGAGUUUUAGGUCAGCCUGAGCUUCAGUAAGUUCUAGGUCAGGUAGGGCUACAUAGUGAAGAUCUUGUCUCCAAAAUAACAAGGCUAGAGCGAUGGCUCAGCAGUUAUGAGCACUGGCUGCUCUCCUGGAGGCUUUGAGUCCCAGAACGCACAAGGAAGUUCACAACUGUCUAUAACUCCACUUCCCGGGAAUUUAAUGCCCUCUUUUGGCCUCCAUAGGCACCAAGUCCACACAUGAGGCACAGACAAGCAUGCAAGCACUCAGCCAUACACAUAAACAUUUUUCUUUCUUUAAAACAACAAAACAAAAAAGCCUUAGAGAUUCCUAUCUAUAAGUCCAUUGUUUUAUAGUUAAGUAAUAUAAAAGAAAUAGAUUAUAAAAAAAAAACACAAAAACAAAACAAAAUCAGCAGGUAACUAUCUGAUGAGGGUCAGAGAAGAUUUGGUCCACACAGCAUCCAUCCUGGGAACUCUGAAAUCCUACAUGGUGACCAAAGACAUCUCCCCUCAAACACAGUCCAAGUCGGUCCCCCUCGUUUCUCCCAUCAGGUUGCAUUAAGGAUGUCCUUUCUUACUUCUCUUGCUGCCUGAGGGCCUCCAUGCAGGGCCUUGACAGCCUGGCCACAGCCCCUGGAGAGUCUCAGAAUCAUCUCCAUUCACAGAUGACUAACUCCAGACUGGGUGACUGGCCUGAGAUCCCACAGUGAGUCACCUCUCUCUACCACGCACUAUCGGCUUGAGGGGCUAGUCUUAGUUUCCCUGAUGGCUGGCACGGUGCACACUCCCCGCAGAGACACACUCCAGGUUUGAAUGCAUCUGGCAUUUUUGGGAUUGUGUGUGCUUUUAGGUGUUAGUGAGGAGAACCCUGCAGAUGAGGGUGAAGGAGUCCUGACCUACAGCACUUGCCGUUGUCUGGGCUAUAAACACUCCAAGCUACCAGCCUAGGCACAAAAGCCCUGAGUGUGUAGUGGUGGUUAUCCUGGCUGGCAGGAGCUCUUUGGGUACCAGCUGUCUUCCUCUGUGUGUCUGUCUCUCCUGGUGGCUCUGUACUCCACCCUCCCUGUAUCCUUAGAGAACACGAUGCAGACUGCUCUCCGGAGGCUCACCUUUAACUUCCAGUAUGCGGCACUAUCCCAGCUCCAAAUGUGCACCGAUAUCCUGCUUUCCAUGGGGCCCAGUUCCCUCUGCACCAAGCCCUAGGCUGAGCCCACUGCCCUGUCUCCUUUAAUUUUCUACUGACAGAGCAGCAGUAGAGGGGGAGCCGGCUCUGCAACCACAGUCUGGCCUUUCUGCUAGCAAGCUGUGUGCCCUUGGGCACAUCCUGGUACAUCUCUGUGCCUCUGUUUACUCAACUGUGAAGUGCUGAUAAAUAAAUAAUGUCUCUACC
rnacentral:lncRNA from 1 species